rnacentral:lncRNA from 1 species
UCUUUACGGAAUAUGUUACUGAAACACCAGGGGUUUGGUCUAGGUCCUGCUGCUCACUGCACAGAAAGCCAAUCACUGAGACAGUGAGUAUUGCCAGGCAAGAAGGCUUUAAUCAGGUGCUGCGGCCCAGGAGUUGGGAAAUCAGUCUCAAAUCAACUGCCUGAGUGACUAAAAUUAAGGCUUUAUAUAGCAGAGAAGAAAUGUAACCAUGCAUGGAAGAACAAGAGUUAGGGAGGAGCAAAGAAGAGGAGUCAGUCAACAGGAAGCAGGUAGGCAUGGGCGGGAGCCCAGGCUGCAUGUGGUGCUCCUGGGCUGGCGCCUGCUGGGCUUGAUCUGGGGACAAACUCCUUCUGGGCUGCCAGGGAUAGGUUCCGCAAAGUCCCUCAGAGAGUGCCAUUGAGAGGUGAAGCCAGCUGGGCUUCUGGGUCGGGUGGGGACUUGGAGAACUUUUGGGAUUGUAAACGCACCAAUCAGAACUCUGUCUAGCUCAAAG